AUUGAACGCUGGCGGCAUGCCUUACACAUGCAAGUCGAACGGCAGCGCGGGAGCAAUCCUGGCGGCGAGUGGCGAACGGGUGAGUAAUAUAUCGGAACGUGCCCUAGAGUGGGGGAUAACUAGUCGAAAGAUUAGCUAAUACCGCAUACGAUCUACGGAUGAAAGUGGGGGAUCGCAAGACCUCAUGCUCGUGGAGCGGCCGAUAUCUGAUUAGCUAGUUGGUAGGGUAAAAGCCUACCAAGGCCACGAUCAGUAGCUGGUCUGAGAGGACGACCAGCCAACCUAGGACUGAGACACGGCCCAGACUCCUACGGGAGGCAGCAGUGGGGAAUUUUGGACAAUGGGGGAAACCCUGAUCCAGCAAUGCCGCGUGUGUGAAGAAGGCCUUCGGGUUGUAAAGCACUUUUGUCCGGAACGAAACGGGCCGAGCUAAUAUCUUGGCCUAAUGACGGUACCGGAAGAAUAAGCACCGGCUAACUACGUGCCAGCCGCCGCAGUAA
rnacentral:rRNA from 1 species